rnacentral:rRNA from 1 species
GACGAACGCUGGCGGCGCGCUUAACACAUGCAAGUCGAACAGAAAGGCCUGCUUUCCCUUGUGGAUUGCGGGUACUCGAGUGGCGAACGGGUGAGUAACACGUGAGUGAUCUGCCCCCAACUUGGGUAUAAGCCUGGGAAACUGGGUCUAAUUCCCGAUAGGACUGCAGGGUGGUGCCUGUGGUGGAAAACGAUUUUCUAGUGGUUGGGGAUGAGCUCGCGGCCUAUCAGCUUGUUGGUGGGGUAAUGGCCUACCAAGGCGGCGACGGGUGGCCGGCCUGAGAGGGUGGACGGCCACAUUGGGACUGAGAUACGGCCCAGACUCCUACGGGAGGCAGCAGUGGGGAAUAUUGCACAAUGGGCGGAAGCCUGAUGCAGCGACGCCGCGUGGGGGAUGACGGCCUUCGGGUUGUAAACUCCUUUCGACCGCGAGGAAGCCACCUGGUUGGAAGGGUGGUGACGGUAGUGGUAGAAGAAGCACCGGCUAACUACGUG